rnacentral:rRNA from 1 species
AAUGAACGCUGGCGGCAUGCCUAACACAUGCAAGUCGAACGAGACCUUCGGGUCUAGUGGCGCACGGGUGCGUAACGCGUGGGAAUCUACCCUUGGGUUCGGAAUAACAGUGGGAAACUACUGCUAAUACCGGAUAAUGACGUAAGUCCAAAGAUUUAUCGCCCAAGGAUGAGCCCGCGUAGGAUUAGCUAGUUGGUGAGGUAAAAGCUCACCAAGGCGACGAUCCUUAGCUGGCUGAGAGGAUGAUCAGCCACACUGGGACUGAGACACGGGCCCAGACUCCUACGGGAGGCAGCAGUGGGGAAUAUUGGACAAUGGCGAAAGCCUGAUCCAGCAAUGCCGCGUGAGUGAUGAAGGCCUUAGGGUUGUAAAGCUCUUUUACCCGGGAUGAUAAUGACAGUACCGGGAGAAUAAGCUCCGGCUAACUCCGUGCC